CACGCCGUAAACGAUGGAAGCUAGCCGUUGGUAAGCAUGCUUAUCAGUGGCGCAGCUAACGCAUUAAGCUUCCCGCCUGGGGAGUACGGUCGCAAGAUUAAAACUCAAAGGAAUUGACGGGGGCCCGCACAAGCGGUGGAGCAUGUGGUUCAAUUCGACGCAACGCGAAGAACCUUACCAGCCCUUGACAUGUCCAGGACCGGUCGCAGAGACGCGACCUUCUCUUCGGAGCUUGGAACACAGGUGC
rnacentral:rRNA from 1 species